rnacentral:rRNA from 1 species
CCUACGGGAGGCAGCAGUAAAGAAUCUUGCGCAAUGGGCGAAAGCCUGACGCAGCGACGCCGCGUGGGCGAUGAAGGCCUUCGGGUUGUAAAGCCCUUUUCUGGGGGACGAGGAAGGACGGUACCCCAGGAAUAAGCCACGGCUAACUACGUGCCAGCAGCCGCGGUAAUACGUAGGUGGCUAGCGUUAUCCGGAUUCACUGGGCGUAAAGAGCGCGUAGGCGGUGUGCUAAGUUGGACGUGAAAGCCCCCGGCUUAACGGGGGGAGGUCGUCCAAUACUGGUGCACUGGAGGGUGGACGGGGAAAGCGGAAUUCCCGGUGUAGUGGUGAAAUGCGUAGAUAUCGGGAGGAACCCCAGUGGCGAGGGCGGUUUUCUAGACCACCCCUGACGCUGAGGCGCGAAAGCGUGGGGAGCAAAGGGGAUUAGAUCCCCGGGUAGU